AAAGCGCUUUUACGUUAAUGAUAAAUGUACUGCUAUAUAAAACUGUCGUCUUAUAACGGUUUGAAUCAAUAUUCGGCGACCUCUUUUAAAAAUGUUUAGCUGUGAUAAAUGUGAUAAAACUUUUUCUGUAAAAAGAUAUUUAGUAAGGCACCGAGUAAAACACGAUAGGAUUAGAUUUCCGUGUCAUGUAUGCGGUUCAACAUUAUCAGAUAAAAACUCACUCGUACGUCACAUUCAAAAAGUGCAUCAUCUCACAAAAUACGGAAUUGAUUAUAAUAUAGCGAUCGGAAAUCAUCCGGAUUCGAGAACAUUACAGUCGUGUGGAAAUGAACGGCCGAGUACGAGCGGGACGAAAAGAAAUUAUAAUACGGUUAGUAGUGUACGGAUUAAACAGCGGGGAUUAGAUCAAAUUU